GCCGCUUUAGCACAGAGGUAGUGCAUUUGAUUCGUAAUCAAAGGGUCAUGGGUUCGAUUCCCAUAGGCGGCU
rnacentral:tRNA from 1 species